rnacentral:rRNA from 1 species
UACGGAGGGUGCUAGCGUUGUUCGGAAUUACUGGGCGUAAAGGGCGCGUAGGCGGCCGUUUGCGUCGGAUGUGAAAGCCCGGGGCUCAACCUCGGAACGGCAUUCGAUACGGGACGGCUGGAGACCGGGAGAGGAGAGUGGAAUAGCCAGUGUAGAGGUGAAAUUCGUAGAUAUCAGGAGGAACACCGGUGGCGAAGGCGGGUCUCUGGGCCGAUACUGACGCUGAGGAGCGAAAGCGUGGGGAGCGAACAGG